GACAGAGGGUGCAAACGUUGUUCGGAAUUACUGGGCGUAAAGCGCGUGUAGGCUGCUCAGAAAGUCGGAUGUGAAAGCCCUGGGCUUAACCUAGGAAGUGCAUUCGAAACUUCUGAGCUGGAGUUCUGGAGAGGAAGGCGGAAUUCUCGGUGUAGAGGUGAAAUUCGUAGAUAUCGAGAGGAACACCGGUGGCGAAGGCGGCCUUCUGGACAGUGACUGACGCUGAGACGCAAAAGCGUGGGGAGCAAACAGG
rnacentral:rRNA from 1 species